rnacentral:rRNA from 1 species
AUGAUGUACACGCGCGCGCGCGCGCUCUGGGCGGCGCUGCUGCUCGUCGCGCUGGCGGCGGCGGUGCCCGGGGCGGUGCGGGGGCAGGGCGGCCUCGCCUCGCGGGCGGAUCUCGCGGGGCUCUACACGCUGCGGGGCGCGCUCGGGCUGCGGGCGCGGGACUGGCCGCGCAAGGCGGACCCGUGCUCCGCGUGGGCCGGCGUGGGCUGCCGGGGCGGCCGCGUCGUGUCCGUCAGCCUCGCCGGCCUGCGGCGCACGCGGCUGGGCCGCCUCGCCCCGCGCUUCGACGUCGGCGGCCUGCGCAACCUCUCGCGGCUCGAGUCCUUCACCGCCGCCGGCUUCGGCCUCCCCGGCUCCAUCCCGGCGUGGCUCGGCGCGGGGCUCGCGCCCACCUUCCGGGCCCUCGACCUCUCCGCCUGCGCCGUCACGGGGGAGAUCGCCGCCUCGGCCCUUGCGGGGCUCAGCAACCUCACCACCCUCAACCUCGCCGGCAAUCUGCUCUCCGGGCAACUACCGGCCGCCGCGCUGGCGGGGCUCCCGAAGUUAGGGACUCUCAACCUCUCCGGCAAUGCCUUCUCCGGCGCGCUACCUGACGCGGUGUGGUCGCUCCCGGAGCUGCGCGUUCUCGAUGUGUCUCAGACUAACCUCACUGGCGCACUGCCGGGGGCAGGGAUUGCGCCGUCAGCCACCUUGCAGACGGUGGAUCUGUCUGGGAACCUAUUCUAUGGCACCGUGCAGGACACCUUCCGUCAGCUGUUCAACCGGGUGACGGCCAAUAUCUCUGGGAAUUACUUUGAGGGCAAGCUGUCAAGUGUUGCCGGUGGUGGAAAUGUGUCCUCUGAGAUGAACUGCUUCCUUGACGUUGCCGGGCAGCGUAGCCCGGAGGAUUGCCAACAAUUCUAUGCUGGGCGUGGACUGCCAUACGAUGGGCCGGUUGCCGCACCAACGCCACAGCCUGAGCCUGCGCCUUCGCCUGAAAAGAAGAAUGGAAGGCACAAGAAUUUGAAGUAUAUAUUGAUUGGGGCCAUUGGUGGCGGUGUCCUGCUUCUAGCCGUGGUUGCAGCCGUUGUGUAUUGCAUUGUGUGUUCUAGGAGGGGUAGGAGUGAUCAGAGGGAAAGUGGCGCUCCAAGUGCACCGUCAGGAGUGCAUGGGAGUUCAAGGGCUGCGGCAGCUACUGGUGCCACACAGCCUUCUGCCUCGCCCGCAAGUUUGGCAAAGGUUGGUGAUUCAUUUGCUUAUGACCAGCUCGCCAGUGCCACCUCGGGGUUUGCGGAGGAGAGGAUUAUCAAGCAUGGUCAUUCAGGUGAUCUAUACCAUGGUGUGCUCCAAGAUGGGACCACCGUGGUCGUGAAGAGGAUCACUACCCGUGUCGCUAGGAAAGAUGCGUAUAUGACGGAGUUAGAUUUAUUUGCGAAGGGAUUGCAUGAAAGGCUGGUGCCCUUAAUUGGUCAUUGCUUUGAUAAAGAGGAUGAGAAGCUUCUUGUGUAUAGGUUUGUCCGUAAUGGUGACUUGUCAUGUGCACUGCACAGAAAGACAGGGGAGGAAGAGGAGGGAAUGCAAUCGUUGGAUUGGAUAAAGAGGUUGAAGAUUGCAACAGGCGUCGCGGAGGCACUGUGCUACCUUCAUCACGAGUGUACUCCACCCAUGGUUCACAGGGAUGUGCAAGCCAGCAGUAUCCUCCUUGAUGAUAAAUUUGAAGUGCGUCUUGGAAGUUUGAGUGAAGUUUGUCGUCAAGAAGGGGAAAGUCACCAAAACGUCAUCACAAAGCUAUUACGAUUCUCAUCGACGGCGGAUCAAAGUUCUUCUGGUUCUCCAUCUGCAUCAUGUUCAUACGAUGUCUACUGCUUUGGAAAAGUAUUGCUGGAGCUGGUGACAGGGAGACUUGGUAUCAGUGCAUCAAGUGACGGUACAACAAGUGAUUGGCUUGAUAACACCCUGAGGUACAUCAACAUUUAUGAGAAAGAGCUCAUGAGCAAAAUCAUUGACCCAACCCUCAUUAUUGAUGAGGAUCAUUUGGAGGAAGUCUGGGCAAUGGCAAUUGUCGCAAAGUCUUGUUUGAAUCCUAGGUCUUCGAAACGGCCACCAAUGAAAUAUAUCCUAAAAGCACUUGAGAAUCCCUUGAAAGUGGUAAGAGAAGAUAAUGGCUCUAGCUCGGCCAGGUUGAGAGCAACAUCUUCAAGGGGUUCGUGGAAUGCUGCAUUCUUCGGGAGUUGGCGGCAUAGCUCGUCAGAGAUUGGUCCUUCAAGGGAUGAUAACAUGUUUAAGCGGUCAGAGACAAUCAAAUCAUCCGGCGGGAGCAAUGGUGAUCAUUCUUCGUCCCGCAGGAGGCAAUCUAAGGAGAUCUUCCCCGAGCCAUCUGGUUCUCGUGACACAGAGGAUUAA